rnacentral:hammerhead_ribozyme from 1 species
AUCCAGCUGACGAGUCCCAAAUAGGACGAAAUACGCGUCCUGGAU